CUAGCGUGUACAAAACACCAACAGAAGUAUUAUAUUAUAUAAUAUCAAAAGAAAAGCAAAAAUGUGACUUUUUAUACGUGUCAAUGUAUUACCCCUAGUAGAUUAAAGAAAGGAUAUUUAUUUGAUUACGUGUUAAUAUCCCUUUAUACUUUUUUAAUUAAUCUAAUCUCCCGUCAGCCAAUCAAAUCACUACACGAGUAAAGAGCAAGAUACAAACCAGCUUUUUGUCUGCGUACACGUGUCAACGUCAGGGCAAAUCUUUAUCGAACAAGGAAAACCUCAGCCACUAGAAGCAGAUUCUUGGGUUUUAUGGAAGAUGAUUCGCACGUGUACAAGAUUGGACACGUGUGUUCACGCCAUUGGUUGCGGUGAAGAUGAGAGUUGCUGGGAGCAUACGAAGAGUAGGACUCUUAUUUCACUUCACUUUUUUGGAUGGGCCCCACCCGAAGUUUAAUCCGGUGUGGCAUUGUCGUGGUCCCACCGCACAUGGUGUCUUGACAUUAGAUGCUGACGUGGAGAUCUAAUUGGAUUUAACAUUUGUUGAUAGCGAUAUCGGUUUCUCCGCCUGGACAAGAAAAGUUCGGCAAAAAAUCGGAUAGAAGACUUUUGAAUUCUUUUUAAUAUAUAUAUUUUCCCGUCACUCUUCCUCAAAAUUCAGCUUGAAAAACUAGGAAAAAAAAAUCUUUCUCAGGCAUUAGGCUCCACCAAAUGACCAGUAAAAUUAUUUUCUUGGACCAAUAAUGUUGAUGAUGUUGCAAGGGCUGAAUACCAAUAUGCAAUCUUGGGAAAUUUUUUAUAAAUUUUUUUUUAUGGGAUUAUGUUAUAUUCUGAUUACAACAUGUCGUAUAUCAAAGGUAAUAUUAGAGUUAAUGUAUGAAAUUUGAUAAGAUUUUAAUUUUUAAUAUUCAUAAAUUUGUAAAUAUAAUAUUAAAAAUAUAUUCAUGAUUUUAUUUUGUAAUUAUCAGUCUCAAUUAUAUUAUCGUAUUAAAUUGAUAAAUAAUUAUACAUUUUAGUGUAAAGCAAAUAUUUCUUAUGAUAGUGUAAAAUCUUAUUCAUAUUCUAUAUAUCACAUAUGAAAUAUUUUCUAAAGCUUUUGCCAAUAAAUAUUAUAUGUGAGUUAAAUUCUUUUAUUACUAUUUUUUUUAUCUCGUAUUAUUAUUUGUUAUUAUUCAGCAACAAAUAUUUUAUGGAAUAAAGUUUGAUGUAUCAAUUUCAUAAUGGAGUAGGGCAUGAUGAGUUAUUGCACAAAGAUGGAUAUAGUGGUUGUUGCAGCUAGCGAACAAGAUACUGAUAAGAAAUAGAAAGUGAAGCAAAUGGGCCAACAAAAAUUGUCAUCCACAAAUAACCCAAUAAAAAAUAUAAUACCAAAAAAUAUAUUUAAAAAAAUCUUUUGAAUAACUCCAUGGAGAUAAAACUCGGCGAUUAUUUGAAAAGUGUUUUUAAGAGUAAAAUUGACAACACAGCCGAGGAAAAGAAAAGUAAAAAUGCUGACUAGGAUCUAGAGAGAGAAAGAGAAAAGAAAAAGAAAGAGAGAAGAAUCAAAAAGAGGCAAGGAGAGAAAGAUAUCUUUAAGGCCACAAGGCAAAUUUGUGGCUGAGAAUCCUCCUGGUUGCUGACGUGGCACCCCACCUGCUUAAACGGAUCAAUAACGUAGACUCCACGAGACGACGACAUCUACAAAAAUUUGGUUACUGAUAUUUGAUCCCCUAAGGUUUUUAAUUUAUGAAACAAGAGUAUCUACUACUCAUUUAUAUCAAAUUAGUCCUUAAUUCCAACUGAAAUGACUAAAAUACCAUUAGUGCUAUGUUAUAUUCUGUCCAUUACAUUAAACAAAAUUUGACAUGGAUAGUUAAAAAGGACAAAAACUUAGAUGAUAAAAAUGAUUGUAUUGAGUCUAAUUUCACACGGUCAAGCCAAAAUUUAUUAUAUAUUAUAU
rnacentral:lncRNA from 1 species